CUGGGAAGAGAAGGUCCCAGGGCUGCUUGCGUCCAGAUGCACGUGUGCCCAACGUGCAGAGGACUCAAGAUCCGAUUCAAGAACCAGAGACGGGCUGUCGCCUGGCCCCUGUGGACCCAGAGCCUCCUCCCUCCCUCCAGCCCCUGCAGACUUGCUCAGGGUGGUAACUGCGUGUUCCCACUUGGGCUGAGGUGUUACGUGUAGAGUCCUUCCCUCGCGAAGGACACCGUUUCCCAACUGGAAAGUUUGCAAAGCUGACAUUUGGCAAGAAAGUCAUUUCUCAUGAAAACAGUCACCCAUUCCAGUUCAUUUAAGUGAAAAUGCAACUCAUGUUUUACUUAGAUUUCGUUUUUUGAAUCGGCCACCGUCCCGUUUGCCACGGAGACACGAAAGCCAGAAGCAAGCUUUCAUCACUGCUGGAGUCUCCCUUGCACACCUUUCUGGAUCUUUAAGGGUUCUUCUAAACGUGCCAAGGACCCCAUGGUGGCAUCCCCAUUCUGCGUCUGGUUCUGGCACUAACACAGCCAGGCUCGGUCCCCUUAGGUCACAGCUGUGGCCAUCCCCUGGCCCGGGGGGUACUGACUCCUCUGUUUGCACAUUUUUUCAUGCUGUUUUAAGACACAGAAUGCAAACGCGGCCACAAUGUUAUGAUCAAGUUUUAAUGUACCAUAGAAAACAAUGGUUUUGUUAAGUUUUUUU